rnacentral:rRNA from 1 species
CACGUAGGGCGCGAGCGUUGUCCGGAAUUAUUGGGCGUAAAGAGCUCGUAGGCGGCCUGUUGCGUCCGCUGUGAAAGCCCGGGGCUUAACCCCGGGUCGGCAGUGGAUACGGGCAGGCUAGAGGUAGGUAGGGGAGAAUGGAAUUCCCGGUGUAGCGGUGAAAUGCGCAGGUAUCGGGAGGAACACCGGUGGCGAAGGCGGUUCUCUGGGCCUUACCUGACGCUGAGGAGCGAAAGCGUGGGGAGCGAACAGG